UACACUAGUUGUGCUGUGUAGCACAAAGAGUCGUAAUCCACAUUUAUUAGGAGAAGAAGAAGAAUCGCCACAGAAGAAGAGGAUUUGCCCCAGAGCCAGUCUCCGACGUCAUUCUAAAGGUCUGUUGAGAAAUGAAAAGACUGGGGGACAAGAUAUAUAGCUUCUUUUUAAAGAGAAGCAAGUGAGGCAACGCCAUCUUGGUUCGGGGUACGCAAGGACACCAUCUUGACUUGACAGCUUUGAUGUAAAACUUCCCUCCUCGGUGACUAAAAGUCCCCCGGAGCAUCAUUUGCUGACAUGCAAGACGUGUGACAGGAAGCCCAGCUGGGAGGAACACGAGCACGCUAGCUAAGGUCUUUCCUUGUCUGCAUCACACGACUCGUCUGUCUGCUGCGUGGCCGCCCGAACGCUCCUUCCGGCCAACCUGCGCGUUUUAUCGAGUGGCUUUGAAGGCCGCCUUGAAGUGCGCGCGGAAGCGCCGAGCUCCCGAUAAUGACGCCGGGAAAGGCGAGCUGUAACGCGGCGGCGCGCUAACAGCUUGGAGCCGGACUCGCCCCCGCGAAUGCCCUCAAACACGUUAUGAGCACGGGAAGAACUCCGACACUUAAGAGCUGAGAGGCCAGAGAGUUUGGCGUGAAUCACAGGAGUCACACGACGGACCUUCAAUUUCCACUUCAUGUGCGUGUCUUGAGACGCGUGUUCAACACUUCAGUGUUUCAGUUCAUUCUGCAUGAGUUGCUCAUCUCAAGAAUGGCAAAAUUCGCAACAGGUGUUUGAACCGAGGAUCGACAAAAACAUUUCUAAAGAUGUCCAUUUCUCGGCCUUUCUGUGACUCUUCCAGUCUCUCUCUUGCAACUCAUCAGCCGUUUGUGACAGACAUCAGAGAGACGGGAACAUUUUAACGGAUCAAACA